UGGAAUAUCUUAUUUUGUUUCAAAGUAAAUAAAUAAAUUCUAAGCAUGAUACACGCAUCAUGAAUGCCAUGAGAUAUACUAGGGUGCUUGCAUUAGAAUUCACGAAUAUGUUGCAUUGCAUAAUAUGUUGUUGAUGUGGGUGAAUGUUGGAUGAUCCUUUAGCCGCACUACGUUAUGAUAUGAUGUGAUACGGUAUGGAAGACCAGUGAGGCCCAUUCUACGCCCCUGGCACUAUGUAAGAGAAAGACCAGUGAGGCCCAUUCUACGCCCCUGGCAUAUUGGAAUGUUAU
rnacentral:lncRNA from 1 species